AAAGACCUUAUGCUUUUGGAGCGGCCGAUGUCUGAUUAGCUAGUUGGUGAGGUAAAGGCUCACCAAGGCAACGAUCAGUAGUUGGUCUGAGAGGACGACCAGCCACACUGGGACUGAGACACGGCCCAGACUCCUACGGGAGGCAGCAGUGGGGAAUUUUGGACAAUGGGCGAAAGCCUGAUCCAGCAAUGCCGCGUGAGUGAAGAAGGCCUUCGGGUUGUAAAGCUCUUUCAGUUGAGAAGAAAAGGCUGUGACUAAUAAUCACAGCUCAUGACGGUAUCGACAGAAGAAGCACCGGCUAACUACGUGCCAGCAGCCGCGGUAAUACGUAGGGUGCAAGCGUUAAUCGGAAUUACUGGGCGUAAAGGGUGCGCAGGCGGUUCUGUAAGUCAGAUGUGAAAUCCCCGGGCUUAACCUGGGAACU
rnacentral:rRNA from 1 species